AUGGCGGCGGCGGCGACCCUGUCCGCGGUCCGGAGAGGGUCAGCACAGCCGCCGAGACGCCGAAGACCUUGCCGCCCGUGCGAGGGCAGUUGCAGUUGGUCUUUCCCCUGGAAGAAAUUUGGAAUGCUGACUCAUUAGAGGGUGUAGACGGGGCACUGCCUGCAGAGCAGGUCCUGCCAGCCUCGUUGGAGAGGAUGCCCCCGUGUCCGUGAUGGGCUGUGGGACAAGCAAGGUCCUUCCUGAGCCGCCAAAGGAUGUCCAGCUGGAUCUCGUCAAGAAGGUGGAGCCCUUCAGUGGCACUAAGAGUGAUGUGUACAAGCACUUCAUCACAGAGGUGGACAGUGUUGGUGCUCUCAAAGCUGGGUUCCCAGCAGCCAGUCAGUGUGCAAACCCCUGCCCUGGUGCCCCCACUGCCGGCCACACAGAGCCUCCCUCAGAACCACCACGCAGGGCCAGGGUGGCUAAGUAUAGGGCUAAGUUUGACCCACGUGUGACAGCCAAGUACGACAUCAAAGCCCUGAUUGGCCGAGGCAGCUUCAGCCGGGUAGUACGCGUGGAGCACCGUGCAACCCGGCAGCCGUAUGCCAUCAAGAUGAUUGAGACCAAGUAUCGGGAAGGGCGAGAGGUAUGUGAGUCAGAGCUGCGUGUGCUGCGCCGGGUGCGUCAUGCCAACAUCAUCCAGCUGGUGGAGGUGUUUGAGACGCAGGAGCGUGUGUACAUGGUGAUGGAGCUGGCCACUGGUGGAGAGCUCUUUGAUCGCAUCAUCGCCAAGGGUUCUUUCACUGAGCGUGAUGCCACACGGGUGCUGCAGAUGGUGCUGGACGGUGUCCGAUAUCUGCAUGCGCUGGGCAUCACACACCGAGACCUCAAGCCCGAGAAUCUGCUUUACUACCACCCAGGCACUGACUCCAAGAUCAUCAUCACUGACUUCGGCCUGGCCAGUGCCCGCAAGAAGGGUGAUGACUGCCUGAUGAAGACCACUUGUGGCACACCCGAGUACAUUGCUCCCGAGGUCCUGGUCCGCAAGCCCUACACCAAUUCAGUUGACAUGUGGGCACUGGGUGUCAUUGCCUACAUCCUGCUCAGUGGCACCAUGCCCUUUGAGGAUGACAACCGCACCAGGCUGUACCGACAAAUCCUCAGGGGCAAGUACAGUUACUCGGGGGAGGCUCUCUCCCCUAAGGUCCUCUUUCCUGCUGCUCAGCCCCCACCCAUCCCCUGCCAGGUCCUAGGGUGGUGGAUUCUGUUUGGUGUGGAAGCCCAGGCACCAGGAUGGGAAUGUUGGAUUCUGCUGCUGAGGAGUGACUGGUCCCUCAGAAACAGGGGAUGAGGAAGGUGAAGUUGGUAAGGAAGUGCUCUGGGAGAGUUCCAUCUAUCCCUUUUUGGCUUCUCUGCUGUUACAGUGUCAAGAGUUGAUACCCUAGAGGUGCCUGGCUGACUCAGUAGAACACGUGACUCUUGAUCUUGGGGUCAUGAGUUUAAGCUCCAGGUUGGGCCCAGAGCUUACUUGGAAAAAAAAAAAAAGGUAGGUACCCUAACUGCAAGGGGAGGAGGACUCAAGGGCCACAGACUAGGGAAAAGGACAACCAGCUUGAUGGUCAGAAACAGGGUGGAGGUGAUGUCCCUCCUCCUACAGUCUCUCCUUAUCUUUUCAGGACAGGGCCCAGCCCUUCACACACACAGCUCAUAAAAGGCUCAUGGAAAGGACAGUGUAGGCUCUCACCCUGGGUAUUGAAGCUGCCCUAGGCUCCCACAGCAGAGGGAGACCUGAAUCUGGUGGCAUGGCAGACUGACAUUUAACAUUCCCUUCCAUGCCCCAUACUCUAAGUCAGUCCAGAAACAGGUGGAAGCCUCUGGGAGACUGGCCAGGUGGUACCUGGGGCCUGUCCCUUCUGUCAGCCACCUGAGCCUCACAUGUGUCCCUGACUUGACUCCAAGUUUACUGAGGUGAGAGUUCUGUUCUUUACCCAGAGCCAGCAGUUAGAGCUAUGGAAAGUCAAAGGCAUGACUGUUUAUCACUAUUCUCUUUCUCAUGCCCACAGUGCUACCCAGCCAGUCAGUCAUGGGCUGACAGACAUACUCAUGGAGCUCUAGAGGCCCAAGUAUGUUGUGGAAACAAGUGGGUUGGUCUGUGGGUAUUGAAAGCUUUCUUAGGAGGUACUGAAUUGGACUUGACCAGAAGCAUGGCCCUGGGUGAGUGUGGAGUCUUGCUUUUCCUUGCUGAGUACUGUUGGAGGCCUCAGCAGUGCUCCCAGGGGCCACUGUUCUGAAGGGCAGCCUGAGCCCCUGUCUCACUGUAGUGGGGUGGGUUGAGGACCACUUACCUGCUUUGGCCUGCCUGACUUCCUCCCGCAAGCCUCUCAGGGUAUGAGGGUUAGGCCGGGUGCCAUUGGCACAGCCUGAUUCUCAGGUCAGGAUGGCUUAAGUCACAUUGGCUUGGGGGACCCACCUGGUCCAGCUGCUUAUAGCUCCUGAAAGAUGGGGAGAGCCAGGGCCUGCUGAAGAGGGCCGGGCUGGCCCUUAGAUACAUGAGUUCAUUGGCAUUCUGCACACGGCUGCAUGUACACAGUAAUUGGGGAGGCAAGCAUCUGGGGGAGCAGAAGGCACAGAUCAAUCUGGCUCACUUUUGUCACUAACAGGCUGGCCGCUCGGCGAGCAGCAGGGGUCGAUGCCUGGUGUGAGCAUGUGUCACUCUGGAGAUGAAAAUGCUUAAGCUCACAGGAUGGGUCUGGUGAGAGGCCAGUCUCGGACUGCACUGGACUUGUGUGGAACUGCAGGGGUCUGGCUUGGUCUGGCUGGGUAUGGAUGUGAAGUGGGGGUGUCUCUGACCCAUCUAUGUUUAGGUUCCUGGCUUGUGAGUCCAGCUUCACCACUGUUUCUUUUGUCAUCAGAGGAGUUGUCCCUCUUCUCUCUUGGCUGGACCAAGGGGGCAUGGGCAGAAUCCAUGUCCCAGCUCUGUUUGGCUAGCCUGGGCUGCCAGUUCUGUCUUUGGGCUGUCCCACCAGUAGGACCUGCUGAGCCACAGUGUAUUUCUCAGUGAUUUUCUUUCUCUUGAAGACCAGAAAGGCUGGUAGGGCAGCACAGGUAUUCCCAUGACCCAGUCUGUUCAGCUUCUGGGUUUUGCUCUGUCCGUCGGGGGCCCCAUUAUGCCUUUCUUUCCAUUACUUAAGUGAGUGAUCGGGGCUGCAGCGAGUGUCGGUGGUUUCGACUGGCUGGCCCCUCACAGUGGCUUCUUGUGUUCAGAUGGCAGGAGCAAGACAUGGGGCUUUCUUGAACCGUGAGCCAAAAGCUACUGUGGCAGCUGUGUAGUCCAGUCCCCCUGCAUGUCAGCCUCUGUAGCGGAGCCCUGAGCUGCGCAGGCCUGCAGGGAAACUUGGACCAGACUGUGUGUGUGGGAGGGCUGUCACUCUGCGCUCCCUCACUGCUCUCAGCAAGCCCUGGCCCAGUGUGUCUAACUUGGCCAAGGACUUCAUUGAUCGCCUGUUGACGGUGGAUCCUGGCGCCCGUAUGACUGCACUGCAGGCCUUGAGGCACCCGUGGGUGGUAAGCAUGGCA